ensembl:lncRNA
UUUUUUUCUCUGACCUCAUUCUUCCAUCACAAAACCUUUUCUAUGAAGGGCAAGAUAGUCAAUAUUUUGACUGGCUUUGUAGGUCAAAUGGCCUCUGUCAUAACUACUCAACUCUGCUAUUGUAGUGAAAAGGCAGUCUUAGACAAUACAUAAAUAAAUGGAUGUGAUUGUGUGACAGCGAAACUGUAUUUACAAAAGCAGGUGGCAAGUGAGAUCGGAGCCUGAGUUCAUAGUUUGCUGACCUCCGCUCUUAAAGGAAGGAGCGCUUGGGUUAUUAAUGUCUGCAUUUCAUCUCUUCUAUGGGACUGUGAGCUCUUUGAGGGCAAGGGCUCUAUCUUGGUCACUUCUGCAUCCCUUUGGAAACAGCAGAUGCCCAGUUAAAAGUUUUUGAAUUGAUGUUCCCCCUGCCCACCAUGGAGAACAACGCCAGUGGUGUGCAUGUCUCCCAGUACCUGCUCCAAGAGGCAUCCCAAAAGUGUUGCUGGGAGCCAGGCUGUGAUACAGGACAAAAGAAGGUGAGAGGCCUCCAUCCUCUUCCCUCCUUUUCUCCCCUACCCCAGUCACUCUAGAAAGUUCUCUGGGAAAUUCUCUGGGCCGAAUGAGUUAAUAUGAACAAACCUCCUAGGGCCGGUAAGAGGCAGAGCUGGCAGAGUCUUGACUUUGGGUCCACCAUCCUUUGGAGCCUUCCACGAUCAAUGACUAGGCAGUGCUGGUGAAAAUAGGUACAUACUGGAAUGGAAGGUUCUAGUGUCUGCCAACAUAUCUUCUUUCUUACAGUUCCUAAUGAUCCAUUUGUGCUUUUUCAGCCCUUCGUGUUAAGAGAACCUCAGGUUGGAGCCCAUAUCCUGACUGCCUCCUUCCCGCAUGGGCACCUAUGUGGCAUUAGGCUCCCUGGAUCUGAAUGGGUGACCUGGGGUGUGCUGGCCUAGGGGAUCACGAGCUAGUGGUCCAGCCCUGGCUCUGCUAACUGCCCUUGAGUGCCCUUGGCCAUGGCCUCUUUUCUCUGGGGCUCCCCCAGCUGGCCAAUGAGUUGGUGGCUUUCUCCUGUCAAUGCCCUUGGAGUCUUGGCACACGAACUGGGCACCCUUACUUCCCUGGAACAGGUAACGAAUCAAAAGUCCUUGAGGAGCAAAACAGUUUGUAGAGUUCUAUCUGGGCAGCUAAGCAGAUGGUUGCCCUGUGACAGAGGAAGUGCUUUGAUGGAGAUGUAGGCCAGCCAUUGUAUGAAGCCAGAAAGACCUGUGGGGGACAACUGCAAAGAAUAAAUGAUGUUGGAGAUGCAGUUUGAAGAGUGGCUGGCCCGGCAGGAGCAGGUGCCCUGAGGCAGGUAAGCCAAGCAGAGGAUGGUGCCGCUGAGGAACUGCGGGAUACUGGAGGGAACAGCACCUGUGUAAGCUGCAUUUGCUGGGGUUUGGUGAGGGAGGAGAUGAGGGAGGACAAGUGAAGUCACAUCCAAUAGUGUUUCAGUUCAGCAGAAGGUAGAGCUUUCUACCAGCAAGGGCUGUCUCAUCCAGAAAGCUAGGAAUCUUCCAGGGGCAAUGGGCACCACAGCCCAGAGGGCUGGGGCCAGAGGCCUCAACCAUUGCCGUCCUGUCUGGCGAGCCCUCCUCCUCGUGGAUUCCAGUGCUUCCCUGUUUUGAAGCCACGGACCCCAUGAUGGAACAGUCAGUCACACACACAGACGGCGUGAUGAUGAGGCCUGGGAGCCCCACUCUGCCCUUGGCAUGUCUCUCCUGGCCC